rnacentral:lncRNA from 1 species
UGAGGAGUCAUAAAAUUAUCGAUCCAAUAUCCAUGCAUGCUGAGAUAGAUGCUCCUGAUUGCUCGCUCCAUGACUCCAUGAGCCAGCCCAUCAUAGAAAUGUGAUUUUAGAACCAGCUCAUUUAUAAACAUAAAAUAUUAUUGGAUUUGAUGUACCAACAAACUCGGCCCACACCCAUUGGCCCAUCCAUACCUUUUAAUGACAAUGCACACUCAUGAGUCAUGCCAGAUACGCGUUGAUUUUAUUUAAUGGGUUACUUAACGUCAACUAAUUCAUAGAAAAUGACAA